GCACUGAUGGUGGAAUUGGUAAACACGCCAUCUUGAGGGGGUGGUAUCCAUAGGAUAUGCGAGUUCGAGUCUCGCUCAGUGCACCA
rnacentral:tRNA from 1 species